ensembl:lncRNA
UAAGAGCUGUUUCGUUCGCGGCCGACCCAUCACUACUGGUGUGAGACUAGAGGAGGGGCAACAAGCAGCUUCACUGAGAGUCCUGCUGUUCCUAUGUUGGUGGGAGAAAAUGUGACUCUGAGCUGCAGAAACAAGACAACUUCCUCCACCUUCAUCACUGAUUUCUACAAAGAUGGACUCCACAUCAGGAGCAUCUCCAGAGAAAUCAUGACCAUCCACAAAGUUUCAAAAUCUGAUGAAGGACUUUACAAGUGCAGGAUUUCAGGAGCUGGGGAAUCACCACAGAGCUGGCUGAAUGCCACAGGCAAUCACACAGGAACUGAGACAGACCCCUCCUCAGAGGCUGGAUGUCAUAUUUACCUCAUCUUACGGACCG